UACGGAGGGUGCAAGCGUUAUCCGGAUUCACUGGGUUUAAAGGGCGCGUAGGUGGGCAAGUAAGUCAGUGGUGAAAUCUCUGGGCUUAACCCGGAAACUGCCAUUGAUACUAUUUGUCUUGAAUUCUCUGGAGGUAAGCGGAAUAUGUCAUGUAGCGGUGAAAUGCUUAGAUAUGACAUAGAACACCCAUUGCGAAGGCAGCUUACUACGGAGACAUUGACACUGAGGCACGAAAGCGUGGGGAUCAAACAGGAUUAGAUACCCUGGUAGUCCACGCCCUAAACGAUGAUUACUCGACAUUAGCGAUAUUACUGUUAGUGUCUAAGCGAAAGCAUUAAGUAAUCCACCUGGGAAGUACGACCGCAAGGUUGAAACUC
rnacentral:rRNA from 1 species